rnacentral:rRNA from 1 species
UACGAAGGGGGCUAGCGUUGUUCGGAAUUACUGGGCGUAAAGGGCGCGUAGGCGGUGUGUCAAGUCAGGCGUGAAAGCCCCGGGCUCAACCUGGGAACCGCGCUUGAGACUGGCACGCUCGAGUUCGGGGAGAGGAUGGUGGAAUUCCCAGUGUAGAGGUGAAAUUCGUAGAUAUUGGGAAGAACACCGGAUGGCGCAAAGGCAGCCC